rnacentral:rRNA from 1 species
UACGGAGGGGGCGAGCGUUAUUCGGAAUCAUUGGGCGUAAAGGUCGCGUAGGCGGCCCGCUAAGUCAGGGGUGAAAUCCCUCGGCUCAACCGAGGAAUUGCCUCUGAAACUGGCAGGCUCGAGGCCGGGAGAGGGUGGGGGAAUUCCCAGUGUAGCGGUGAAAUGCGUAGAUACUGGGAGGAACACCAGUGGCGAAGGCGGCCACCUGGACCGGUUCUGACGCUGAGGCGCGAAAGCGUGGGGAGCAAACAGG